rnacentral:lncRNA from 1 species
CUGGAGAAGUGAUACCAGCCCUUAGGAAGAGUCCAAAAGAUCAAGUGGAAUCCCAGACAUUGAAACAAGAAGCUGUAACAUUGAAAUUUCCUUGGAGACUCAAAGAUGUUAAAGACGCCAGAGCCAUGGGAUACAUGCUAAGGAAAGUGCUAACAGGGAGUGGAACCAGCCAAGGAGAAAGCAGUUUGUUGCAUUCAACAAAGAUGAAAAAGGAGUGGAGAUCUGAAGACCGCUUUGACAUCAGCCAUGGAGAUGCAGAGUUUGGAAUUUGCCCAGCUGGUCUCCUGUCUUUCUUUGAGGAUUACAGUUAAGUGAUUGGAUAGAUCUCACAAGAGACCUUGAACUUUGGACUUUUAACAUUGUUGAGACUGCUAUAGACUAUUAGGACUUUGAAAGUUGGACUAAAUGCAUUUUGCAUUUUGCUAUGUUUAAAUAUGACCCCCAUAGACUCAUGUAUUUGAACAAGUUCUGUGGGGGCCAGGGAAUGACACCAUUUGGAGGUGUGGCCUUGUUGGAGUAGGUGUGACCUGGUUGAAAUAGGUGUGUCACUGUGGGUGUAGGCUUAAGAUCCUCACUCUAGUUGCCUGGAAGUCAGUCUUCCACUAGCAGCCUUUGGAUGAAGAUGUAGAACUCUCAGCUCUGCCUGCGCCGUGCCUGCCUGGAUGCUGCCAUGCUCCCACCUUGAUGAUAAUGGACCUCUGAACCUGUAAGGCAGCCCCAAUUAAAUGUUGUUUUUUAUAAGACUUGCCGCCGGGCGUGGUGGUGCACGCCUUUAAUCCCAGCACUCGGGAGGCAGAGGCAGGUGGAUUUCUGAGUUCGAGGCCAGCCUGGUCUACAAAGUGAGUUCCAGGACAGCCAGGGCUACACAGAGAAACCCUGUCUUGAAAAAACAAAAAAAAAAAAACAAAAAAAAAAAAAAAAGACUUGCCUU